rnacentral:rRNA from 1 species
AUGGCCGGCCGCCGCGUCCUCGUCCGAUGCGUGCUGAGUGCAAUGCCAACCUUCGCCCUCAUCGUCCUCCAUGUCCCGAAGAAGAUUCUCAAAGAGAUCGACAAGUGCAGGCGGCGUUUCCUCUGGCGCCAGGACGACGAGAUUUCGGGCGCCAGCUGCAAGGUCAGCUGGCCAGCGGUCUGCGCCCCAACGGAGUAGGGGGGCCUGGGCAUCCCUGACUUGCAGCAUUUCAGCAGAGCGCUGCGGCUGCGCUGGCUCUGGACUACCUGGCACCACCUGGAGCGGCCUUGGGUGGGCACCGAGUUGCCUUGCGACGGCGCGGACAAGGCGCUCUUCGCGGCCUCCACCAGCGUUGCGAUCGGUGACGGGGCUCGGGCCUCAUUCUGGCUCUCUUCUUGGAUUGGUCAGGGCUGCCUCUCGCAAAAAUUCUCAAGGUUGUUCAGCUACUCGCGGCGCAAGAACAGAUCGGUGCGGGAGGCCCUCAGGCAACAACCUCCAUCUUCUGCCGGACGUCCUCGCCCUUCACCGCCUGCUUCAGGGGACGGGCGCGCAGCUGCAGCCAGAAGUGCCAGAUGA